GGGGGGGGGGGGGGGUGGGGGGGGGGGGGGGAGGGCGAGCGGGCGGGCGGGGGGUGCUGGGGGGUGGGGGUGGGGAGUGGGGGGGGGGGGAGGCGGGGGUGGGAAGGUGCUUUGUGGGGGGGGCGAGCGUGGGGGAACUUACGCUACGAGCGCAUAUGUCGUCGGGGGGCGAGGGGGGGAUGGUCGGACCUUGCGCUGUGGAAGGUGCCGAUGGCGGAUUCGCUAGUUGGUGGGGUAAAGGCCCGCCAAGUCGACGGUCCGUAGCUGGCCUGAGAGGAUGAUCAGCCACACUGGAACUGAGACACGGUCCAGACUCCGACGGGAGGCAGCAGUAGGGAAUAUUGGACAAUGGGCGCAAGCCUGAUCCAGCCAUGCCGCGUGAGUGAAGAAGGCCUUCGGGUUGUAAAGCGCUGUUAUUGGGAAAGAACAACUGCAGGUUAAAACCUGGCUGUUCUGACGGUACCCAAAGAAUAAGCAACGGCUAACUUCGUG
rnacentral:rRNA from 1 species